UACCAGCACCCCGAGUGGUCGGGACGAUUAUUGGGCCUAAAGCAUCCGUAGCUUGUCCUGCAAGUCUUCCGUUAAAUCCACCUGCUCAACAGAUGGGCCGCGGGGGGAUACUACAGGGCUAGGAGGCGGGAGAGGCAAACGGUACUCAGUGGGUAGGGGUAAAAUCCACUGAUCCACUGAAGACCACCAGUGGCGAAGGCGGUUUGCCAGAACGCGCUCGACGGUGAGGGAUGAAAGCUGGGGGAGCAAACCGG
rnacentral:rRNA from 1 species